ACCUGUCUGCCCGAAUCGCAUCGGUAAGGAGUGUUUUUUCCCUACAAGUCUUGAACCCGGGAUCCGCCUCUGGCCGUAGCGUGCAUGCCCGCAUGUCGGGAAGCCCAAUCCGGUUAAUUACUGUGGAGCCCACCUACUUUGGUAGGGGUUCAAACAUCCUAACCACGACCGGGCGGGGGUC
rnacentral:other from 1 species